ensembl:lncRNA LINC01650 long intergenic non-protein coding RNA 1650
GAGUCCACCUCAGUGUCCCAAGCUCAAAUCAUGCUCAGAACAUGUUCAGACCAGUUCUAAGUCUGUUUGGCCUUCUGGAUCUGUGGUCCAGAAUACUUGCAGAAUUUUCCUUAUUUCUAGCCUUUUGUGCCAUAUGUGGGAUAAUUCGCUGAAUAUCAUCCGUGCCAUGGAUAACUCAUACAAAGGCACAAACCCAAGCCAUGUGAAUGGCCUAUUUGAAAACUUUUUUUUUUACUGAGGCAACUGGGACAGUAGCUGUUGAAUGAACUCCUCUUCUACCAACGCCAGAAUCCAGUGACGUUUCACCAGUAUGAAGAUGGGAACCACAUGCUAUACUUAUAGACUACAGAUAAACUUCAUAUCCUUCUUAUUUUUAUUGUUAACAUUACUGUUUUGAUUCUAUCAUUCACUCCUAUUUGCUGAGCAUCUAUUAUGGGCUUAGUAUUUUGCAGCUAUAAUGAGAAGAGGAAUUAUUUUUUAAAAAAAUGACUAUAGCACUCUCACAUUGUAGAGGGACAGGAUUCAUAUUUAGAUAUCUAGGUGAAUUUUUCAUUUCUGCAAAGAUGGACUCCAGAACCUAGUGUGAAAUGGGAAUAUUGAGUAUGCUAUGUAAUCAACUGGUGUAGUGCUGUCAUGAUAUAUAUGAUACCUGUCCUCGCUUUGGCAGGCAAGACUCUUGCCACCAAGCAUUUCAGACUAGGAUAAUGGCACUCUCCUCCAUCAUCAAAACCCUCAGUAAAAUCUGCUGUGUACAACAACUUUCCUAUUGUCUUUAGGGAAUGAAGGAGAAUGGAGCUAGAUCUGUAACAGGAGCUACAGAAAACAAGAUGGCAAACAAGGUCCCAGCAGAACCCAGAGUCGAAAACAAGAGAACCAGGCGAAUGUGAGCACCCACCAGACCCACCCACAGAGAAUCCUAGCGACUGAAGUCAUUUUAUGUUUGCCUUCAACUUGAGAUAAGUCCCAGAAAAUUGGAGGAUGUGGAGACCAGGAUGCCUCAUUGCACAACUCCAGGAGGCACAUUACAGUAGGUGUGCAAGAGGGCAUGACACUCAAGUUACAAACACAUCAUUUCAUUUAAUCUUCACAACACUCCUGGAAAAAAGGCAUUAUUAUCCUUGUCUUACAGAUAAAGAAACUGAGACUCCAAGAA